rnacentral:rRNA from 1 species
GUGGGGAAUAUUGGACAAUGGGCGAAAGCCUGAUCCAGCCAUGCCGCGUGUGUGAAGAAGGUCUUCGGAUUGUAAAGCACUUUAAGUUGGGAGGAAGGGCAGUAAGUUAAUACCUUGCUGUUUUGACGUUACCGACAGAAUAAGCACCGGCUAACUUCGUGCCAGCAGCCGCGGUAAUACGAAGGGUGCAAGCGUUAAUCGGAAUUACUGGGCGUAAAGCGCGCGUAGGUGGGUUUGUAAGUUGGAGGUGAAAUCCCCGGGCUCAAACUGGGAACUGCCUCCAAAACUGCAUGACUAGAGUACUGUAGAGGGUAGUGGAAUUUCCUGUGUAGCGGUGAAAUGCGUAGAUAUAGGAAGGAACACCAGUGGCGAAGGCGACUACCUGGACUGAUACUGACACUGAGGUGCGAAAGCGUGGGGAGCAAACAGGAUUAGAAACCCCUGUAGUCC